GGUUUUUAUUUUAUACUUUAAACAUUGAUUUUAUUUUUUAUGUUUUUAGAUGUUCAUGUUUUUGAAUGUUUUAUUCGAAUAAUAUAAAAAAUAAAAUAUAUAUUGACAUGGAUUAAACAAAGAUAUAUAUUAUUCUAUGUUGUAUAAACAAAUUGGCAAAAUAGAGAUGGAAGAUA
rnacentral:misc_RNA from 1 species